ACUCCUACGGGAGGCAGCAGUGAGGAAUAUUGGUCAAUGGACGCAAGUCUGAACCAGCCAUGUCGCGUGCAGGAAGACUGCCCUAUGGGUUGUAAACUGCUUUUAUACGGGAAGAAAUAUAGCUACGUGUAGUUAUUUGCCGGUACCGUAUGAAUAAGCAUCGGCUAACUCCGUGCCAGCAGCCGCGGUAAUACGGAGGAUGCGAGCGUUAUCCGGAUUCAUUGGGUUUAAAGGGUGCGUAGGCGGAAGUAUAAGUCAGGGGUGAAAGUUGUGGCUCAACCAUAAAAUUGCCUUUGAUACUGUAUUUCUUGAGUACAUUUGAGGUAGGCGGAAUGUGUUGUGUAGCGGUGAAAUGCUUAGAUAUAACACAGAACACCGAUUGCGAAGGCAGCUUACUAAACUGUAACUGACGCUGAUGCACGAAAGCGUGGGAUCGAACAGGAUUAGAUACCCCUGGUAGACUGUCA
rnacentral:rRNA from 1 species